UACGGGGGGGGCAAGCGUUGUUCGGAAUCAUUGGGCGUAAAGCGCGUGUAGGCGGCCCGGUAAGUCCGCUGUGAAAGUCGGGGGCUCAACCCUCGGAAGCCGGUGGAUACUGUCGGGCUGGAGUGCGGAAGAGGCGAGUGGAAUUCCUGGUGUAGCGGUGAAAUGCGCAGAUAUCAGGAGGAACACCGAUUGCGAAGGCAGCUCGCUGGGACGUAACUGACGCUGAGACGCGAAAGCGUGGGGAGCAAACAGG
rnacentral:rRNA from 1 species